rnacentral:lncRNA from 1 species
UUUUUUUUUGUCGUCUAGAUUUAUUAUUAAUUGCAAAUUAUGAGAACUGUUACAUAGACGAUUUUACAACUGACAAUUCUUUCCGACCCUUACUAGAUUCACGACAGACUACACUUCCUUCUUCGUAAUCUUGAUGAAUACCUUCAAUGAUCCACAACCUGGCGACACUUCCUUCUCUGCGUAGAAUCCUGGCGAACGGCUAUAAUUGUACAUCGCUGGAGAUCUCUUUCACACUUGCCUCCAUUAAUCUGCAAAUUUGUUAAUAAAUCGCAAUACCUGGGACUCGAACCCCAGACCUUUUGGUGUAGAAGCAUUAAUCAACCCUAGGUCAACC